AAUCUGCCCUUGGGUUCGGAAUAACUUCGGGAAACUGAAGCUAAUACUGGAUGAUGACGUAAGUCCAAAGAUUUAUCGCCCAAGGAUGAGCCCGCGUAGGAUUAGCUAGUUGGUGAGGUAAAGGCUCACCAAGGCGACGAUCCUUAGCUGGUCUGAGAGGAUGAUUAGCCACACUGGGACUGAGACACGGCCCAGACUCCUACGGGAGGCAGCAGUGGGGAAUAUUGGACAAUGGGCGAAAGCCUGAUCCAGCAAUGCCGCGUGAGUGAUGAAGGCCUUAGGGUUGUAAAGCUCUUUUACCCGGGAUGAUAAUGACAGUACCGGGAGAAUAAGCUCCGGCUAACUCCGUGCCAGCAGCCGCGGUAAUACGGAGGGAGCUAGCGUUGUUCGGAAUUACUGGGCGUAAAGCGCACGUAGGCGGCUUUGUAAGUUAGAGGUGAAAGCCUGGAGCCCAACUCCAGAAUCGCCUUUGAUACUGCAUCGCUUGAAUCCAGGAGAGGUGAGUGGAAUUCCGAGUGUAGAGGUGAAAUUCGUAGAUAUUCGGAAGAACACCAGUGGCGAAGGCGGCUCACUGGACUGGUAUU
rnacentral:rRNA from 1 species